rnacentral:rRNA from 1 species
GUGCCAGCCGCUGCGGUAAUACGGAGGGUGCAAGCGUUAAUCGGAAUUACUGGGCGUAAAGCGCACGCAGGCGGUCUGUCAAGUCGGAUGUGAAAUCCCCGGGCUCAACCCGGGAACUGCAUUCGAAACCGUCAGGCUGGAGUCUCGUAGAGGGGGUAGAAUUCCAGGUGUAGCGGUGAAAUGCGUAGAGAUCUGGAGGAAUACCGGUGGCGAAGGCGGCCCCCUGGACGAAGACUGACGCUCAGGUGCGAAAGCGUGGGGAGCAAACAGGAUUAGAUACCCUGGUAGUCCACGCCGUAAACGAUGUCUAUUUGGAGGUUGUGCCCUUGAGGGUGUGGCUUCCGGAGCUAACGCGUUAAAUAGACCGCCUGGGAGUACGGCCGCAAGGUUAAACUCAAAUGAAUUGACGGGGCCCGCACAAGCGGUGGAGCAUGUGGUUUAAUUCGAUGCAACGCGAAGAACCUUACCUGGUCUUGACAUCCACAGAACUUGGCAGAGAUGCCUUGGUGCCUUCGGGAACUGUGAGACAGGUG